UCGAUUUAGAGGUUGUGGUCUUGAACCGUGGCUUCUGGAGCUAACGCGUUAAAUCGACCGCCUGGGGAGUACGGCCGCAAGGUUAAAACUCAAAUGAAUUGACGGGGGCCCGCACAAGCGGUGGAGCAUGUGGUUUAAUUCGAUGCAACGCGAAGAACCUUACCUACUCUUGACAUCCAGAGAAUUCGCUAGAGAUAGCUUAGUGCCUUCGGGAACUCUGAGACAGGUGCUGCAUGGCUGUCGUCAGCUCGUGUUGUGAAAUGUUGGGUUAAGUCCCGCAACGAGCGCAACCCUUAUCCUUUGUUGCCAGCACGUAAUGGUGGGAACUCAAAGGAGACUGCCGGUGAUAAACCGGAGGAAGGUGGGGAUGACGUCAAGUCAUCAUGGCCCUUACGAGUAGGGCUACACACGUGCUACAAUGGCAGAUACAAAGAGAAGCGACCUCGCGAGAGCAAGCGGAACUCAUAAAGUCUGUCGUAGUCCGGAUUGGAGUCUGCAACUCGACUCCAUGAAGUCGGAAUCGCUAGUAAUCGUAGAUCAGAAUGCUACGGUGAAUACGUUCCCGGGCCUUGUACACACCGCCCGUCACACCAUGGGAGUGGGUUGCAAAAGAAGUAGGUAGCUUAACCUUCGGGAGGGCGCUUACCACUUUGUGAUUCAUGACUGGGGUGAAGUCGUAACAAGGUAACCGUAGGGGAACCUGCGGUUGGAUCACCUCCUUA
rnacentral:rRNA from 1 species